rnacentral:misc_RNA from 1 species
UCCAAACUGUUCCGUAGGUGAACCUGCGGAAGGAUCAUUACUGAGUGAGGGUCUUUGAGGCCCAACCUCCCACCCGUGUCUACCGUACCGUGUUGCUUCGGCGGGCGUCUGCCCGCCGGAGACCUCCCGAACGCUGUCUUGAACAAGGUUGCCGUCUGAGUAGGAUUAUACAAUCGUUAAAACUUUCAACAACGGAUCUCUUGGUUCCGGCAUCGAUGAAGAACGCAGCGAAAUGCGAUAAGUAAUGCGAAUUGCAGAAUUCCGUGAGUCAUCGAAUCUUUGAACGCACAUUGCGCCCCCUGGUAUUCCGGGGGGCAUGCCUGUCCGAGCGUCAUUUCUGCCCCUCAAGCACGGCUUGUGUGUUGGGUCGCCGUCCCCCCCGGGGGGGCGGGCCCGAAAGGCAGCGGCGGCGUCGCGUUCCGGUCCUCGAGCGUAUGGGGCUCUGUCACCCGCUCUGGAGGCCCGGCCGGUGCCGGCCACACCCCCCAAUCUUUCUCUAAGGUUGACCUCGGAUCAGGUAGGGAUACCCGCUGAACUUAAGCAUAUCAAUAAGCGGAGGAAAAGAAACCAACAGGGAUUGCCUCAGUAACGGCGAGUGAAGCGGCAAGAGCUCAA